rnacentral:rRNA from 1 species
UGGCAAGCGUUAUCCGGAUUUACUGGGUGUAAAGGGCGUGUAGGCGGGACUGCAAGUCAGAUGUUAAAACCACGGGCUCAACCUGUGGCCUGCAUUUGAAACUGUAGUUCUUGAGUACUGGAGAGGCAGACGGAAUUCCUAGUGUAGGGGUGAAAUGCGUAGAUAUUAGGAGGAACACCAGUGGCGAAGGCGGUCUGCUGGACAGCAACUGACGCUGAGGCGCGAAAGCGUGGGGAGCAAACA